rnacentral:lncRNA from 1 species
UUUAGGCAAUUCCGCAUGUGCAGAUAAUCUUACGUGUAAAGUGUCUACGUGUAAGUAAGGAAGAACAAAAGGUAUUUCUUGGCUUUUUUAUGAGUGGUGGCCUGAGUGUCAACGUUGGUAAGGGAUGAUGAGUUAAUCUGACUUGAAAAGCCAGAUAAAAUAUGAUUAGACAUUUUUUGAACCCCUAUUUGCUUACUAGGAGGUGCUAAGGAUGGGGUAUAGGG